rnacentral:rRNA from 1 species
UACAGGGGGUGCAAACGUUGCUCGGAAUCAUUGGGCGUAAAGCGCACGUAGGCGGUUCGUUAUGUCGGAUGUGAAAGCCCUUGGCUUAACCGAGGAAGUGCAUCCGAAACUGGCGAGCUAGAGUACUAAAGAGGAUCGCGGAAUUCCCGGUGUAGAGGUGAAAUUCGUAGAUAUCGGGGAGGAACACCGGUGGCGAAGGCGGCGAUCUGGGUCGAUACUGACGCUGAGGUGCGAAAGCGUGGGGAGCAAACAGG